UGACCUCGGAUCAGGUAGGAAUACCCGCUGAACUUAAGCAUAUC
rnacentral:rRNA from 48 species